rnacentral:lncRNA from 1 species
GUUUGAGCGAGAGUGUUAUGGUUCCACAGUAUGUAAAACGAUUCCGUAAUAGCAUAUUGUCCCCGUGACAACUCAUAAUUUGUAAUAGCCACGCACGACGUCGCUGUCCGGAUGUCCCCACGUUGCCAAAAGCAUUGCCAACGAUGCCUACAUCUCCAAUACUGAGACCUCCGUAUGACCCUCAACUUGCAAGUGUACUUCUGACGGCACCACCAGCUCCUCCAACGAAAUCGGUACUACCACCUCCACCUCCUCCGGCGACACCACCGACGUGGCCCAGCCAUGACCACCAACGCUACCAAAGAAAGAACCUGCGACCGCCAUGAUCUCCAUGCCCGGCAACUGCACCACACACCCGCCUCCAUGGGCAUCUGGGGAUGGGCCAAGACUGCGACCUAGGGAGAGGCGCAUGUCAGUGCUGGCGACGAGCGGCCCUCACCGGAGAGGACCCCUGCACUGCCAUCUCCUCCUACUGGUUCUUCCGUGAAAAAGCCGCCAGAGUCGGGACGCCCGACAACGAAAGCCUCCGGCACAGCCUCCGACAGCGGUCGGCAAGGUGCACAGUCUCCAAUAACAGUAGGCAAGCUGUUGACUUCUAGUCAGAGAUAAAUUGAUUUGUCAGCAGUGUACACGAUGAAACGGACAAUGAGAAAAAAAUAAAAGAAAAUCUAAAUAUUAAUCUAACGACUCCAAUUGUCAACUUAAAAUUAAUCGAUUUGUUUAAAAAUCUGGCUACAUACUGACACACACACAGUGUAUUGAGCUAAAGAAAAUAUAACGUAAUCAGGAAUCGAUUGAUCAAAGAGCGGACGG